ensembl:snoRNA SNORA70 Small nucleolar RNA SNORA70
AUGUCGUGAUAAUAAAGAACAAUACCAUGAGGGCCCAGUGUGCAAUGGUUGCAAACAGCAGCCUUCUCAGUCAUGUAUACAACCUGUUGCCUAUAUAGGUUGCCCUAAGGACCUUGGAGACAACU